rnacentral:tRNA from 1 species
GUGCUUGUAGCUCAAUUGGUUAGAGCGCCGGUUUGUGGUACCGGAGGUUGGCGGUUCGAGCCCGCUCUAGCACC